rnacentral:rRNA from 1 species
UCUGGUAGUUAUGGCGAGAAGGUCACACCCGUUCCCAUCCCGAACACGGUAGUUAAGCUUCUCUGCCACAAAGGGAGUUGGGGUCUACCCCAUG